UAGCAGCACCGGCAGCGGGCGGCCCAUGUCCGGCGGCGGCUCCUCUCCGCGGUCUCCCUGCACCUCUCAGUCUGGCCCCCGGGAGGAGACAGUUAUGUGGCCCUGGGGGCUCCUCCCAGAGAGAUGCUCAAUGAAAUAUUUAGAGGUUGAAUGUCAUCGGUGUCUGCAUUUACCUUGAAAUAUUUUAGGAAAAAAGAAAGGCAAAAUAGCAAAAUAGCUGUAUCAAUUAUAUCGAGUACGCGGGCCUCUCACUGCUGCGGCCUCUCCCGCCGCGGAGCACAGGCUCCGGACGCGCAGGCCCAGCGGCCAUGGCGCACGGGCCCAGCCGCUCCGCGGCAUUUGGGAUCCCCCCCGGACCGGGGCAUGAACCCGCGUCCCUCGCAUCGGCAGGCGGACCCCCAACCACUGCACCACCAGGGAAGCCCUAAAAUAAAAAUUUUUGAAAAAAGAUGAAAAGGUUCUGAAGAUUGGUUGCACAACAAUGUGAAUGUACUUAACACUACUGAACUGUACAUGUAAAAUGAUUAAAAUAGUAAAUUUUAUGUUUACAUGCAUUUUAUCAAAAUUAUUUUAUUUUAUUUUAUUUUUUUGCGAUAC